CUAAGAAUAUUCCGCAAUGGACGAAAGUCUGACGGAGCGACGCCGCGUGGAUGACGAAGGCCGAAAGGUUGUAAAAUCCUUUUGCUGGGGAAGAAUAAGCAUGGGAGGGAAUGCCCGUGUGAUGACAUGAACCGGCGAAUAAGCCCCGGCUAACUACGUGCCAGCAGCCGCGGUAACACGUAGGGGGCGAGCGUUGUUCGGAAUUACUGGGCGUAAAGGGCAUGUAGGCGGCCUUGUAAGCCUGGCGUGAAAUUCCACGGCUCAACCGUGGGAAUGCGUCGGGAACUGCGAGGCUUGAGUGACGGAGAGGGAGCUAGAAUUCCUGGUGUAGGGGUGAAAUCUGUAGAUAUCAGGAAGAAUACCAAUGGCGAAGGCAAGCUCCUGGCCGAUGACUGACGCUGAGGUGCGAAAGUGUGGGGAUCAAACA
rnacentral:rRNA from 1 species